GGAAAGCCGGUGCUGGGCAUCAACCAGACGCUGCUUUGGUAUGCACUGCGUGAGGCUGGCUUCGAAGAGAAGC
rnacentral:SRP_RNA from 1 species